rnacentral:lncRNA from 1 species
AAGACCGUGACCAUCACCAGUUGUCUGUAGGAAUUAAUUGUUUGCAUUUAUUGCAGCAUUGAUGUCAAGAUCUCUACCAUCGCCUAUUUGAAUGAUUUAUCCGUGGGUUGGAUUGGUCAAUUUAAAAGUGCCCAACUAGACUACAAGCUACAGACAAGUGAUGUCGUUACUGUAGAAUAUAAUACAAUAUAUUAUAUUAGUGUGUUCACAUAAUACUUUAGUUACGCAAAGGUUUUGGGAAACACUCUUCAACUAACGAUCGUUAGCAAAGUUCUUCGCUUUACAAAGCUUUUAGGAAACCCACCACUGGUCAUCUGAUGCUUUAUGCUUCUUUAGCUGUAGAAAAUAAGUCAUCUGAUGUGCAGGAUUGAGACGCCUUAGUGCACGCAGUGAUUAAAAUACUGGUGAUAAUGGACAGGAGGACCUGUAUGGAAAGCUGCAGAGAUAAUGAUUGAUUGAUCACAUUCGACUCCCAGCACUGGAGUCUUGGGAUCAAGUCUCUAUCUGGAUGGAGUUUCCAUGUUCUCCCUGGGUGUGUGGGUUUCCUUUGGGGACUCCGGUUUCCUCACACAGUGCAAAAACAUGGAGAUCAGGUAAAUUGUGCUGGGCCAACUCCUCAGUGCCCGAUGCAGUCUUCCAGGUUACGGUUGUUUCCGGUUAAAAGUAUGCUGUGUGUGAUUUGCUGUCACUUCUCACCGAUGUGUGUUGAUUGUGUGUAGAAUGUAAUUGUAAGCGUCCUUGAGUGUCUUGAAGGCACUAUAUGUGUAAUUGUAUGUAAGUAGAUAUAAUAGUCUGUAAUUUUUUAUGUUCAAUCAGUGUAGUGUUGGCAUUUUGAAUUGCUUUUCUAAUAAAAGAGGUAUUGGUAUGUUUGCUGGCCUGAACAAAGAAGGUUAACUAAUCAGGAAACUGAUAAAACAAAACUGCUAAUAGCAUUUUGCAGUGGGAGAAAAGAUAACGACUUCAGAUGUGGAGGGCUGGUUACACUAGCAGAAAAAGCCAGGGACAGAGUGCAGGUGAAGAUAUGGUUUCAGAACAAACGGUCCAAAUACAAAAAAAUAAUGAAACAUGGCUCAGGUGGACAUUAAGGAGAACACCUUCAAGCAGCUGCAGCUUCAGGAACUCAGUGUUCACCAGCCAUGCCUCCAUUAUGGGACGUUUCAAUGCCAAACAAUGGUGCCCCCAUCCACACUGGAGGAUAUAUGAACUCUUUUGGGCACUGGUACCCAAGCCACCAUCAGGACUCGGUUUGGCCUGAACUCAAAUGAUUUGUGGGAUGAGCAAAACUCAUUUAAUUUUGAUGGCCACAGCACGAUUCAACAUUUUAUCUACUCCGAGAGGCU